CGUGAGGAUCUGGCUAUAGGUAGGGGACACAGAUGGAAACGUCUGCUAAUACCCAAUGUGCCGAGAGGUGAAAGCUUUAGUGCCUGUAGAUGAGCUCGCGUCCGAUUAGCUAGUUGGUAGGGUAAAGGCUUACCAAGGCGACGAUCGGUAGCUGGUCUGAGAGGAUGAUCAGCCACACUGGGACUGAGACACUGCCCAGACUCCUACGGGAGCGCAGCAGUGGGGAAUUUCCGCAAUGGGCGAAAGCCUGACGGAGCAAUACCGCGUGCGGGACGA
rnacentral:rRNA from 1 species